GUGACGUUGUCAUGGCAACCGCUCCUGCAGCUGCCAACGUUGUCCUGUAACCGAAUGGGAAAUGUCACUGCGGGGUGUGAGGGAACCUGCUUUCUGUGCUUGGCACACUGAUAUAGGUGCCGCUGCCUCUCUGGAAUCCCAGCUCUGUCCGUACACGUCUGCAAACCCCGGCUGCAUCGGAGCGACAGAAAUCUACGGCUGCAGAUUUUGGGAGUUGAGAUCCCCACUGCCGACUCUGCUUUGUUCUGACACUCUGCACCCUCAAUGAAAACAAAACCAGCCUUCCCUCAGUAAAUCAACCGACUGGCGUCUCAUCUGCUCCAUAGCCAGUCAGACAACAUCAACACAGUGACAAGAGAGGAAGCAGCACAUGAGACUGACAGCAGAGGUUGGCUUGAGGUCCCAUUGUUCACACAACUUUAUGCUUGGGCAACUGUCCACAACUGGCUGGAGGAAAAAAGAGAUUGACAUAAGGCCUGGACAUACUGUAAAAAAGAAACCUUAAUAAGAUAAUCAAGACUCUCAGACCAAACUGCCAAAAAGGAACACAGCAGAGAGACAAACACAGCUGACAAGAGGGCUGGAUUGAGGGGUACUAAAUUCCCCAAAUAUUUUGACUUCUGUUUAAUUAGAAAUAAGGGCUGAGGGUGGGUGACCAGAUAGCAAGUGUGAAAAAUCAGGACACUUUUUUUUUCGGGGGUGAGUGGGGAGGGUAUAGUUGCAUAUAUAAGACAAAGCCCCAAAUAUCAGGACAGCCUCGCUAAUAUCAGGAUGUCUGGUCACCCUGGCUGGGGGGUGAAUCUAACUCGCAACAGGAGAACAUGGAGAAAUGCUUUGGAACCAAUUUUUAAGGAGAAUUUUGAGAUAUUAAUUUUAAAAACUGUAUGUAUUUUUAAGUACAUAAUGAACCAUUUUUAUUGGUCUCCCAUGUGCCCCAGUUUCACCAUCUGUCAAUGGAGAUAAUAAUACUGACCUCCUUUGUAAAGUACGCUGAGAUCUACUGAAGUAAAAGUGCUAUAUAAGAGCUAGGGGGUAGGAUUUUAAUGCAGAAUGACAGUAAAGCUUAUCAGUUCCCAUUGUGCAAAGAAAUGAUAGAGCUGGUUGAAACUUUUCCACUGAAACUGGGUAUUUUUGUUUGUUUUGUUUGUGUUUUUUUGUCAAAAAUUGGGGGUUUGAUCAAAUAAAAAGGUUUCUGGAAAGUG